AGUGAACGCUGGCGGCGUGCCUAAUACAUGCAAGUCGAACGGAGUGGCGCACGGGUGAGUAUUAUAUAGCUAAUCCGCCCCUUGCUGGAGGACUACAGACAGAAAUGACUGCCAAUACUCCAUAGCAAGGGAUGAGACUAUAUCGUAUCAGAUAGUCGGUGGGGUAACGGCCUACCGAGGCUAUGACUAGUAACUGGUCUGAGAGGAUGAUCAGUCACCUUAGAACUGAGGCACGGUCCGGGCUCCUACGGAAAGCAGCAGUAGGGGAUAUUGCGCAAUGGGGGGAACCCUGACGCAGCAACGCGGCGUGGAGGAUGACACUUGUCGGAGCGUAGACUCCUUUUGUUAGGGAAGCGUUACCUAACGAAUAAGCACCGGCUAACUCCGUGCCAGCAGCCGCGGUAAUAC
rnacentral:rRNA from 1 species